rnacentral:lncRNA from 1 species
UUCAAUUUAGUAAGUGAAUAUUAGAAUUCAGAGACAAGUCAAAUAAAAAUAAUAAUUAUAUAAAUUAUAACAGACUCCUUUGAAAACUCAUAAAACAAAAGGUCACUCUUGACUUUACGCAAAAUCAGCUUCAAGUGACUAUCAAACAUUUCACAUGCCUUAAUAUUUUAUGUGUCAUACUACCAGAUCAAGCAGACAACUACACAAGACCUUGAACACGUAAACAAUCAUAGAUCAUCAAAACUUUGAUGUUGAUCUACCGAUCAGUCACACUGCCCAAGGAUCAAAGUAAGACGGUCUUCCUGACCUGCCAUCAAAGAAUAAUGAGGUAGAUGAGAUCGUAUAAAUCAAGACAGGAUAUUGUUUUCAAAAAUAAUGGAAGUGUACUUCUCAUUUUUCAUUUUUGAUAAAGGGCAAUUUUAUUAUCUCAAAUGUAGCAUUAAGCGGAUACAAAACAUUAUGAGUAACACCCGGCCUCUACAUAACUAGGAUGCACACAGCCAUUAUCCUCUGGGUGUGAACAUGAACUGAACAGUUACCUGCCAUUUGCUUUGACAUCAGGUUUAGUUGUACCAGCAUCUAUGCAUUCAGAAGUCAAGAGAUUGAUAUAAUUAGUUUGAAUGAGUGCACGUGUGUUUCACCAGCUAAAGAUAACUACAAAAUCUUUCAAGAAGUAAAAAAGAGAUGGACUACACAUACAACUAUUGGUAGCCCCUUGCACUUUCUACUUGUUCAAUUAAGCAUUAUUUGGCAAGCCUCAACAGAAGCACUGCAGCUAGUGCGGCAGGGAACUUCAAAUGAAAAAUUGGGAACAUAGAAAGUAGUGCAUCACCUUCCAGAUGGUUAAUGCCUAAACUUUCUAAUGCAACAGAAUCAGCAAAACACCUGCAUUUUUUGUGAGCACAAAGAACAAUAUCAAUAAACCCAAACAAAUUCUAAAAAUGAAGGAAGAAUUGGGGGAAGAGGAGAUGCAUGAAGGAGAGACAAUUGGAACGAAUUGGAGACCUGAACAUCACCCAUCGCUGCUGGAGAUUGGUUUGCAAGAGUGGGGAGAGUGGGAAAGGAGCAUCGGCAAGUCGGGGUUAUAUGGCAUGCGUUAAUUGAAUGUAGAUGUAGAAUAUGAGUCGCCAUAUGUAACUGACCAGUAAUCAAUGGCCGGACCAUCGACUGCUAUUUAUGGGUGAUUAAUCUCUGAAUCAAUAUUCUUGAAGGAGAGGAGAGAAGUUACCAGUACGCGAGGCGUCUGCCAUUAUCUCCCUCCCCCGCACCUUGACUCCGUAGCACACCUCUACAACGCGCUGGAUUGGAUCGGCUCGACGCGGAUCCCGCUCCUCCGGUCGCUGGGAUCGACCGGAUGGACUCAGCUUGACCUGGAUCCCGCUCCUCCGGUCGCUGCGAUCGACUGGAUGGACUCGAUCCCAUCCCUGACCUCAGGUUAACCGACGCACCCCGGCGGUCUUCACUGGAUGGAACCGGCUGCCCCUCUCUGCGGCUUGAUUCCGGAGUGGAAUCGAUGCGGUCCCGUUCCCCUCGGCCUCGGUCGGGACUCGAUGAGGGUUCG